AGCGAACGCUGGCGGCAGGCCUAACACAUGCAAGUCGAACGAAGUCUUCGGACUUAGUGGCGGACGGGUGAGUAACACGUGGGAACGUACCUUUUGGUUCGGAACAACUCAGGGAAACUUGAGCUAAUACCGGAUGAGCCCUUAGGGGGAAAGAUUUAUCGCCGAAAGAGCGGCCCGCGUUAGAUUAGCUAGUUGGUGAGGUAAAGGCUCACCAAGGCUACGAUCUAUAGCUGGUCUGAGAGGAUGAUCAGCAACACUGGGACUGAGACACGGCCCAGACUCCUACGGGAGGCAGCAGUGGGGAAUCUUGCGCAAUGGGCGAAAGCCCGGCGCAGCCAUGCCGCGUGAAUGAUGAAGGUCUUAGGAUUGAAAAAUUCUUUUACCAGGGACAAUAAUGACGGUACCUGGAGAAAAAGCCCCGGCUAACUUCGUGCCAGCAGCCGCCGUAACAC
rnacentral:rRNA from 1 species